AGGGAAAAAGCCAGCUGAGAAGAAGCCAGUAGAGGAGAAGAAGGCCGGGGGAGUGCCUGCUGAGAAGAAGCCCAAGGCCGGGAAGAAGCUCCCGAAGGAUGCCAGCGGCGCUGACAAGAAGAAGAAGAAGGCAAAGAAGAGCAUUGAAACCUACAAGAUCUACAUCUUCAAGGUGCUGAAGCAGGUGCAUCCAGAUAUCGGUAUCUCCAGCAAAUCAAUGGGUAUAAUGAACAGUUUCAUUAAUGAUAUAUUUGAGAAGCUUGCUCAGGAAGCUUCUAGAUUGGCUAGGAUCAACAAGAAGCCUACUAUCACUUCUAGGGAAAUUCAGACUGCUGUUAGGCUUGUGUUGCCUGGUGAAUUGGCUAAGCACGCUGUUUCUGAAGGGACCAAGGCUGUUACGAAGUUCACUAGCUCUUAGGCUUUAAAUUGGGGAUCUUUGGGGUUUUGGGUCUAUGUAAAGGUUCCUAGUUUUGGAAGUUUGAUAUGUAAUUGUCUUACUAUGAUUACUGCAAAUGAAUCAAGGCUUAUUAUCUAGUGAAAUUCUGUGUUACUUAUUAUUUUGUUUAUCGUAUUGUGGCGAUAAUAUUGGCGUUCUAUGUUUUGUCAACCGAAAUUCUUAAACAGAGCAUGAUUUGGUGUAUUGUCACUGUGAAUUGCAACGAAUAAUUGUGAUUUACCAUAAGCAUGACACCGUUCUGAUUAAGUUAUAAUCAUACUUUUGAGUUAUACCAACGAUUUCAAACUGUUCUAUAAAUUUUUUGAGUCUUGGUGUGGAGUUUAAAUACAUUUAACUGUUAUUUCUGUGGAAGAAAAUAUCCAAUAUUAUUGCCUUGUCAAAAUGCAAAUCAUUUCAAAAUGAUAUAAUUGUUUUCUGUUCUUUAAAUUAUUCUUGUUUUUUUUUUUUUUUUUUUGGGUUCUUUUCUAUCUUCUCUGUUUGCCUAAAUUUUGUUAUCUAAUAUUUGAUAACAAAAUUGAAGAGGACAUUUCAAUUUUGAAGAGGAAGUGGUUAAUUAUUGAAGAGGAUGCGUUUAAUCUGGUAAGUAGUUAAUUAUCCUUUUCAAUUCUCUUAUUAGGACAUUUCUUUAAGCAAGGAUUAUUCAUGUAUUAUUUGUUUGGUUUGGUGGAAUUGUGUUAAGUUAGAUGAAAUUAUUUUUAAGCUUUUAAUGUUUACUAAAAUGGAUUUGUAUUCUUAAUUUAUGAACUUACUUUUUAUAAUCACUUGCUUACUAUACACUUAUUCUCGUGCUAAUCAAUAAAACUUUUUAAAAUGAUAAGAAUGAUAUCAUCACAUAGGUGCAAUGGAUUAAGAAUUUUAAGUGGAUAAUGCAAGUUUAAAUUGAAAAUAAUGAGCAUAUCCGAUUUAUAUUUAAUGGCAAAUCUUUUUUUUUUGGCUUAAAAGUAUUUAAUAUCAAAUCGAAUGAAAUUUAUGUAAAAUCAUUUUUGAAUGAAUUUAAAGAAUAUCUUAAUUUUCUGGUUCAUAAAGGUUGAAGUCGCAUCUAAUUUUUUGAUAUAGCAAACAUAUGUGAAUUCAUCUACUUUUUCAAGAGAAAUGCAUCAUCAAAAUCAAUAAAAAGAUCAAUAUGGACCAUGAUUCAAAUGGGAUUGCGCUUGUCAAGCUAAGCAAGCGCUAAGCUUUUGCUAGUGGCCGGAAUGACAAUGUGAAGACUCUUUAAUGCCCAAGUUUUGAUGUAGACAACAUUCAAUUUUGUACAAGUCUAAUUAUGAUAACUUUCAUGUCUUUCACAACAAAGGAAAGAGAGUCGGCUAACAUAAUUUUUGCAUAUAUCUAAUUAUGAUAAUGCACAUGUCCUUCACAACAAAGAAAAGAGUGGCGGCUAUUAUGCCUUUAUUUAACAUGGAAUGAAUUCAUCAAGUCAGAAAUUUAUACUUAGCUAAGGAGAACAUGAAGCAUCUAUUGAAGGACGAGCAAAGAAAAUUUUCACCACCUAUUGCAUAAUACUGAAACAAUCAUAUCUAGUUGUUUGAGUCUAAUGAAUGAAGUUUAGAAUUUGAAUUUGGAGUUGUAAUUUUAAACCUUAUUUGAGCUAGUUAAUUUGAGUUUUGAUUGUUACUCUUUAGGAUGGGUCUUUCAUAUAAAUAAAUUAUUCAAUUUCUUUAUAAUUUAGGUGAAAUCUGGUUGGAACAAGUUUUUCCACAAAGCCAUGUUGUUCACUUGAAAUUCUAAACCAAGAAGACUCAAAUAAAUCAUAUCUUCUUCAUUUUCGUUUGUUUUCUCCCUCCUUUCGCUGGAGUUGUCGGUGACUUAAAAAAGUUAAAUUGGAUGGAGAAAAAAUAUUUUCUUAGUAGUAUUUUUUAUGUUUAUUUUUAUUGAUUCAUAACAGAUGUUGUACACCCUUAAUAAAUACUCCUCCCAUAUUAUUUUACUUUAUCUCAAAUUUUUUAAUUUGAUUUCUCGUUUUACUUGUCAUUUUUUAUAAAUUAAUAAGAGACAAAUUUUUCCCCAUAUUUUAUCCUUUAUAUUAAUUACUUUUUCUUCAAAUUAUAAUGUAAACAUCAUAGUAUAGUAGCCAUAUUAUUAAUUAUUUUUUUAAUUAAUGUACCAAAUUAAUUUGGGACAAGUAAAAUGUGAGGAAAGAAUAAUAAAUAAAAAGCAUAUUUUAUCAUGAAACGCCCAUCAGUGAUUUAUAAUUUGAUGAACUUGAAAAAGAUACUCUUAUGAUAUAAUUAAUGAAGGAUAAAUUAGAAAAGAAAUAAUUUUCUCGAGUCAACAAAUAAAAUUUAGAAUAUACUUCUCUGUUUAUCUUUACUUGUUCAUUUUUUUAUUUUGGGUUGUCUAACAAUAUUUGUUUAACAUAAAAAUAAUAAUAUAUUAUUAUUUUUAACUAUUUAUUUUUAGUACUAAAUACGAUUUAUUUUUAAUUUUUUUAUGAUUCAAUUUUACUUCUAUCAUCUCCUACUUUUUAAUUUUGAUGUCAAUAAAAUAAAUAAAUAAAAAUAAAUGGAGGAAAUAUUUUGGGAAAGGAAAAGGUGAGGGAGGAAGUAUUUUUUCACUUCGUAAACAAUUAAUACAGCCAUUACUGAUCGUCCAUUCCCCCCUUCAUCAACGGUUAACAUUCAUGAUCCACGCUAACCUAAUGUAACCAAUCAAACAACAGAAUCGAAACCCUAUAUAAUUAUCACUUCACCGAUUCCAUGCCUCAUCACUCACGCAUUUUCCUCAUCACAAUUUCCAUUAAUCACUCUGUGAAAUCUCUCAACAAUGGCACCAAAGGCAACUGGGAAAAAGCCAGUACAAGAGAAGAAGGCUGAGGGAGUUCCUAAGAAGCCCAAAGCCGGGAAGAAGCUCCCAAAGGAUGCUGGCAGCGCUGACAAGAAGAAGAAGAAGGCAAAGAAGAGCAUUGAAACCUAUAAGAUCUACAUCUUCAAGGUGCUCAAACAGGUGCAUCCAGAUAUUGGCAUUUCCAGCAAAUCAAUGGGUAUAAUGAACAGUUUCAUUAAUGAUAUAUUUGAGAAGCUUGCUCAGGAAUCAUCUAGAUUAGCUAGGAUCAACAAGAAGCCUACUAUCACUUCUAGGGAAAUUCAGACUGCUGUGAGGCUUGUGUUGCCUGGUGAAUUGGCUAAGCACGCUGUUUCUGAAGGGACCAAAGUUGUCACUAAGUUUACUAGCUCUUAGGCUUUUAGUUUGGGGGAUCUUUUGGGUUUUUGGUCUAUGUAAAAGCUGGAAGGCUUUGGUGUUUAAUAUG
rnacentral:lncRNA from 1 species